GAGAGAAACAUCAAAGUGUGGGCCAUGCCAUAAGACAUUCAAAUAGGCAUGCAGCUUACAGCAUGUGUGGCUUGCCCACCCAUGGAUAAAGGCAUGCCAGACAUCCCAACAGCUAGGUGAGUAUUUUUCCAUCUGCACAAAUAACAUGAACCUACCUGGCCU